AUUAUUUUGGCAGAUUAGUGCAAUAAAUUUAGAAUUUAAAAAUGUAAUUUUUUUUUACAAAUAAUA
rnacentral:tRNA from 1 species